CAGUAGUCAUAUGCUUGUCUUAAAGACUAAGCCAUGCAUGUCUAAGUAUAAAUAGUAUACAGUGAAACUGCGAAUGGCUCAUUAAAACAGUUAUAGUUUACUUGGUAAUUGAAUUCUAUAUGGAUAUCAGUAGUARUUCUAGAGUUAAUACAUGCGACAAAACCUGACUUUUCGGAAAGGUUGUAUUUAUUAGAUUUUAACCAACCACCUCCGGGUGGCUGUGAGGAUUCAUAGUAACUGAUCUGAGCGAGGUUUUUCCUCGYUAAAUCAUUCAAGUUUCUGCCCUAUCACUUAGAUGGAAGCGUAUUGGACUUCCAUGAGGAUCACGGGUACGGAGAAUUAGGGUUCGGUACCGGAGAGGGAGCCUGAGAAACGGCUACCACUUCUAAGGAAGGCAGCAGGCGCGUAAAUUACCCAAUCCCAAUUCGGGGAGGUAGUGACAAGAAAUAACAACUCGGGGACUCACGUCUUACGAGAUUGCAAUGAGAACAAUAUAAAUCACUUAACGAGGAACAAUUGGAGGGC
rnacentral:rRNA from 1 species